rnacentral:rRNA from 1 species
UUUAAUAAUUAAAGUUAUUUUAAUUUGUGAAGAAACAAUUAUAUAAAUUAAGGACAAGAAGACCCUAAGAAUUUAAGAAUUCUUAUGUUACUUAAAUAUAAAAUAGGAAUUCUUAGUUGGGGCAACUAAAAAACAUUAUAAACUUUUUUUUCUUUAAA